UACAGAGCCCUCAAACGUUAUCCGGAUUCAUUGGGCGUAAAGCGUCCGCAGGUGGUUGUGUUAGUCAGUAGUCAAAUCCCCGGGCUUAACCCGAGGACUGCUAUUGAUACUGCACAACUCGAGGUUGGAAGAGGCAAGCGGAACUAUCGGUGUAGUCGUAAUAAGCGCUGAUAUCGAUAGGAACACCAAAGGCGAAGGCAGCUUGCUGGUACAAACCUGACACUCAUGGACGAAAGCGUGGGGAGCGAAUCGG
rnacentral:misc_RNA from 1 species